rnacentral:rRNA from 1 species
AAUAGAUACCCUGGUAGUCCACGCCGUAAACGAUGAGUGCUAAGUGUUAGAGGGUUUCCGCCCUUUAGUGCUGCAGCAAACGCAUUAAGCACUCCGCCUGGGGAGUACGGCCGCAAGGCUGAAACUCAAAGGAAUUGACGGGGGACCCGCACAAGCGGUGGAGCAUGUGGUUUAAUUCGAAGCAACGCGAAGAACCUUACCAGGUCUUGACAUCCUCUGACCAUCCUAGAGAUAGGACCUUCCCCUUCGGGGGACAGAGUGACAGGUGGUGCAUGGUUGUCGUCAGCUCGUGUCGUGAGAUGUUGGGUUAAGUCCCGCAACGAGCGCAACCCUUGUCCUUAGUUGCCAGCAUUCAGUUGGGCACUCUAAGGAGACUGCCGGUGACAAACCGGAGGAAGGUGGGGAUGACGUCAAAUCAUCAUGCCCCUUAUGACCUGGGCUACACACGUGCUACAAUGGAUGGUACAAAGGGCAGCGAAGCCGCGAGGUGGAGCCAAUCCCAUAAAACCAUUCUCAGUUCGGAUUGCAGG